GUUAUGUGCUACAUCAGCUCCACGUGUCUGACCUAAUGCAUCAGCCAUGCCUCCAAAUCAGGAUUCAGAAAAGUGGCAUAUCCUGCCUGCACAGCAUGAGUCCCACAUUUUUAGCUAAAAGGUACAAUGGAUCCAUGGAAGGAGAAGCCAAGUGUUCCUGGCAUGUGUUCACGAACAGUUAGAAAUCUGGAGGGCAAACACCUUUGAAGCUGUUGCUAACUGGAUACAGGGUCUAAUGAUUGGUCCAACACAUGAUUGAGAUGGAAUUCCCCAUGUCAAUCAACACAGUCAAGAUAAUCUCCCACAGGAAUAUUCACAGAAUGUGUCUCCCAGACAAUUUUAGAUUCUGUCAAUUUGGAAAUCAACAAAUAUAUGGACCAAGGCACAUGAAGUUGAACUUGAUAAUCAUGGCCACCUUCCUUUGAUCUUGGUUGUCUGUCUUAUGAAAAUAUCUGUUAUAAACAUCUAAAUAUUAACAUUUA